GACGAACCGUGCGAACGUUAUUCGGAAUCACUGGGCUUAAAGCGCGUGUAGGCGGGUCAGCACGUCGGUUGCUGAAAUCCCCCGGCUCAACCGGGGAACGGGCACCGAUACGACUGGCCUGGAGGGGAGUAGGGGGACCUGGAACUUCCGGUGGAGCGGUGAAAUGCGUUGAGAUCGGAAGGAACGCCCGUGGCGAAAGCGAGGUCCUGGACGUUUUCUGACGCUGAGACGCGAAAGCCAGGGGAGCGAACGGG
rnacentral:rRNA from 1 species